GGGGGCUGUCAGUCUCAGGGUCCUGAUUCCCCAUCGACCCUUCCCCCUUUUUAGUACUGGGAGCUAGCAACCAAAACACCCCCACUGAAUGUUAGUAAGGGGGCAACAGUCCCCUUACAUUCCCCCUUGCUAAAAUUCUGCCACAGCCACAAUAUUCACACCAGUACAUCCGGGCCCCAUAUUUGCAAGGUACUG